UCCCAAUUCAUUUUUCUUUCUUUUUGAAAUUCACCGUUUAUAGUUUUUGAAUAAAAAAAUGUGGAUAUUUAGCGCCUAAUUAGGUUUCAUCUUUUAUGAAUUUUCUUUUGAUAACUGUUUUUCGUUGCAUGUAAUUUUACAUGAUCUUUUGCUUAUAUAUUUUUGUGGUCUUUAUGGAUGCUUCAUUGCUGUAUAUUGAUUUUGUUCAGAGUUUUAUGGGAAACUCUACGUGUUUUCCUGCAUUUUCCUCCGUGCUUACUUAUCUGGAUUUGCAUGCAAGCUUUGCAGCUCACAGCAUCUUACUCGCAAAGGUUUUUUCUUUCUCGAUCUUUUUUUCCUUUCCUUCUAUCUUUUUCAAUAGGUUGUCACCGUUUUCCUCCGUAGGAAAGAGAUUCAUGGGGCCAUCGAAGGUUACAGAGGAUAUGGAUACUUAUCGUAUAAGGCCCUUUCCCUUAUUGCUAAUUCCCACUCCCUUUAUUAAUUUGCUUUUCAUCUUUUAUUGAUUUGCUAAUCUCCGUAGGUUUCAUUUUUUAUUAAUUUGCUUUUCAUAAUUGUUUUUAUUCUCUAUCGAAGAUCAUUAACAUUAUUAUUCCAAUCUUGAUUAUUGUUUUUUAUUUGGCAAAUUCGCAGCAUGUAAUUCUGCAAAGCGGUCUAGCUUGUGUUUUUGGUAAUUUUCAACAUGGGUGGACUUUCUAUAUUGUUUCCUAGGAUACUUACAUGGACUAAUAAUUUCAUCUAGCUUUAUUGAUCUUUUUUGGCAUUGUUAUAGACAGUUCUAUGUUGUUUGUUUUUUUGACUAAAUUGGGUUACAAUUUUGUAACACGGGGAGCUUAGUAAAUUCAUUAACCACUGACAUGAGAUCAAAGUAGCACCUCUAGCAAGGAAGAAUAGUUGGCAACUAACCAUCAUUAACCUUGGACUGAGGAGCUUCCAUUCCCAUUUAUUAAAGGCCCGAGAUGGUUUUCCCUUUGCUGGUGUAAGAUCUUUGACUCUUCGAUCUAUAGUGGUCAAUAUUCUUGCCUUUUGCUGAAAUUAAACAUUACAAUUUUCAGUUUAUAGAAUUAAGCUUUUUUUAAUUGUUGUCAAGUCAACUCAAUUGAGAAAAUUAGAACCACAAAUCUUUUGGUGUGUUCAAAAAUUUCUAAGAGCAAGAUCCAUUGAAAUGAUUUUUAUGGUUGAAGAGAUAUUGUUAUAUUUGGCAUGAUGUGGAUUAUUUGUUUUAACUUUGCAGCUUAUUGAUUUACAAGGUACUUUGAUAAAGAGGUGUCUGGGUCUAAAAACUCUUAAUCAAAGAAGAAAAUGCUUAACCAAAAGAAAAUCAAGGGUAUGUAAUCAUUUUGUGUUGGUGCCUAAUCAGUCUUGAUAUGAAAUAAAAGGGUACAAAAUUGGAAAUUGGUUGCUUCUCAUGAGACUGAAUAUUUAUUCUUGAAGGUUGAUGCUACUAUCUUCUAAAAGGUACAUUACAUUAUUGAAGUUUUUAAUUUAUAUUUUUCUCUCAAUGAUUUCAUUUACAUCAUUGCAUUAUGAAGUGUUAAUCCCCUUAUUUUCCCUUUUUCUGAGCAUCUUCCUUUCAUUUUUGGUGAGUAGUUACAUGUAUAUAUUUAUGUACACUUCAUCUCAUUUUUUUUUACCAAUUGAUUGCUUGCAAUUAAGUUGAUGGUGCUUGCAUAGAACAAAAACAAGGAAAGGGUUAUUACUAUCAGACACUCAUGGUCAACAUGUGCUCUAUUAGGCUGAAGUGUAUCAGCACUAGAGCUUUUGUUUGCAUUUUCUUGGACAAGGGACUCCAAUAGGUGCUACUGGGCACUGUGCGCCACUACUUUGCUGAGUUGCCUCUCUCUAACAUUGACACUCGCACUUAUACAUCUUUGGGGCUCUGUGUGAGGAGUUAACUAGAAAAGUUGCCACUUUGGUGGCAGAGAAUGAAAACCUAAAGAGGGAGAAAGAAUUGUCUUUGAAAGAGUAUGAGUCUUUGGAGACUACAAAUAAGAACUUGAAGACACAGAUAGCCAAGUCAAUAAACACUGAAGUGGAGAAAACUCCUGUUGAGCCUGUGUCAUCUGUGGCUGAGAUAACACCUUCAUCCGGUAAUGGUCCAUGGUUCCUUUAUAACCAUUUUCCAGUUCCACAAAUAUUUUGGCCUUCCAUCCUUCAGUCUUCUAAUCCAAUUCAUCUACAAAAUACAUCAUUUAAUUCCAUCGCCAUUCCACCUAAUGCUAAUGUUUCAUGUUCUUCCGAGUCUGAUUCACAUCACAAGCAAAAUAACCUUAUAAAUGAUAAUCGAACUCGAGUAAUCACUUUUUAAAAUUUUAUUUUGAUCUAUCCUUUUGAUUUUUGAGGUUGUAAGUUUCUUUCUUUAGCUUAAUCACUAGAAGAAGAUAAGAAAGCUUUUGAAAUGACUGAGUCAAAAGAGGCAACAUUGCUUGAAGCAUAGAAGAUUUCCUGUCGUAAAUCUGAAGUGGAUUUCAAGUUCCUGUGUUCUUUGCUGGUUUCUCAAGUCAAGAAUUGGGAAGUAACACAUUCCUGUUUUCGGGAUUUAUUGUUCUUUAUCAUCAUCAUCAUCAUCAUCAUCAUCAUCAUCAUCAUCAUCAUCAUCAUCAUCAUCAUCAUCAUCAUCAUCAUCAUCAUCAAGUCAUGUUUUAGGAAAUUGGAGGAUCUGAUGGUGCAACUUCUCCAGCAGUUGAGGCUUUAACCUUCUCUCAUACUUACUGUUUGCUGCUAGCUUUAAUUCAAUUUAGUUGUCCACCAUUUUUUCCUGCAUUAUUUAAAUUCUACUCAUCUUAAUUUUUUGCUUAAUAUUUUUUAAGCAUUUAAUUUAAACCUGAUUCUUGCCGAGUUUCAGUUGGUGAUAUCUAAUUAUGAUACCAUUGACAAGGUAGUGUGCUUAUUGGAUAAAAGCAUUGAGUGCACAUGCUCUGAUGCAUUUAUUUUUCAUCUUUUCUAGACUCUAGAAUGUCAUGUCUCCUGAUAAUUGAGAUUAUCUAAUUUUGAAUUUUGUCAUUAAGUUAGGCCAUUUUUUUUAUAUAAUCUUGGACUGCUUUUGUCGUUCAACUUCUUUGUAGGGAAAGAAAAGAAGAAUACCCUAAUUGUAUUUUCUUAUGUAUAUAUUGAAAUUAAUUUCAUAGCAUCUAUUCAAGCAAUGUUGUUGGUACCCUUAUUGUAUUAAUUUAUAAAUUGAAAUUAAUUUAAUUUACUCUUAAAUAUCUUAGUCUUCCCCAAUGGCUGAGGAAUCUAGCACUCAAGCAAGUAUUUCAAGAAUAAUCAUGCUGGCUGAGGCUUUGUUUGAGGUUUUAACCUUCUCUCAUGCUUAUUGUUUGCUGCUAGUAAUUCAAUUUAGUUGUCCACCAUUUUUUCCUGCAUUAUUUAAAUUCUACCCAUCUUAAUUCUUUGCUUUAUAUUUUUUAAGCAUUUAAUUUAAAUCUGAUUCUUGCUCAGUUUCAGUUGGUGAUAUCUGAUUAUGCUACGAUUGACAGGGUAGUGUGCUUAUUAGAUAAAAGCAUUCUGAGUGCACAUGCUCUGAUGCAUUUGUUUUUUCAUCUUUUCUAGACUCUAGAAUGUCAUGUCUUCUGAUAAUUGAGAUUAUCUAAUUUUGAAUUUUGUCAUUAAGUUAGGCCAUUUUUUUAUAUAAUCUUGGACUGCUUUGGUCGUUCAACUUUGUAAGGAAAGAAAAGAAGAAUAGUUUCAAAUAGGUAGGUUUCCUGUUUUCGGGAUUUAUUAUUAUUAUUAUUAUUAUUAUUAUUAUUAUUAUUAUUAUUAUUAUUAUUAUUAUUGUUAUUGUUCUUGUUCUUGUUUGUUGUUGUUGUUGUUG